rnacentral:rRNA from 1 species
UACGUAGGGUGCGAGCGUUAAUCGGAAUUACUGGGCGUAAAGCGUGCGCAGGCGGUUCGCUAAGACCGAUGUGAAAGCCCCGGGCUUAACCUGGGAAUUGCGCUUAAGACUGGACUGCUUGAGUGCGGGAGAGGUGAGUGGAAUUCCCAGUGUAGAGGUGAAAUUCGUAGAUAUUGGGAAGAACACCAGUGGCGAAGGCGGCUCACUGGCCCGCAACUGACGCUGAGGCGCGAAAGCGUGGGGAGCAAACAGG